UGGGGAAUAUUGCACAAUGGGCGCAAGCCUGAUGCAGCGACGCCGCGUGCGGGAUGGAGGCCUUCGGGUUGCAAACCGCUUUUGUUCAAGGGCAAGGCACGGUUUUGGCCGUGUUGAGUGGAUUGUUCGAAUAAGCACCGGCUAACUACGUGCC
rnacentral:rRNA from 1 species